UAGACAGAUUACUGCAUUCGAUUGUAUUCACGACGUGAAACAGGGGAUUACACUGUUUUUAAACGGAAAGUGUAUCAAUUAACAUAAUAGACUCCU
rfam:Nicotiana sylvestris Nsyl_contig133342, whole genome shotgun sequence.